rnacentral:tRNA from 1 species
GCGGCCGUGGUCCAGCGGCAAGACUCUGGCUUCCCGAGCCAGCGACGCGGGUUCAAAUCCCGCCGGCCGCACCA